rnacentral:rRNA from 1 species
UGUUUGGGAAUGCAGCUCAAAAUGGGUGGUAAAUUUCAUCUAAAGCUAAAUACCGGCCAGAGACCGAUAGCGCACAAGUAGAGUGAUCGAAAGAUGAAAAGCACUUUGGAAAGAGAGUCAAAAAGUACGUGAAAUUGUUGAAAGGGAAGCGCUUGCAACCAGACCUGCCCGCGGGUGAUCAACCGUCCUUCUGGGCGGUGCACUCGCCCGUGAUCAGGCCAGCAUCGGUUCGGGCGGCCGGAUAAAGGCCUUGGGAACGUAGCUCCUCUCGGGGAGUGUUAUAGCCCUUGGUGCAAUGCGGCCAGCCUGGACCGAGGACCGCGCUUCGGCUAGGAUGCUGGCGUAAUGGUUGUAAGCGGCCCGUCUUGAAACACGGACC